CUUUAUGUGCUGAAAGAUGGUCUCGCGUCUGAUUAGCUAGAUGGUGGGGUAACGGCCCACCAUGGCGACGAUCAGUAGCCGGUCUGAGAGGAUGAACGGCCACAUUGGGACUGAGAUACGGCCCAGACUCCUACGGGAGGCAGCAGUGGGGAAUAUUGGGCAAUGGGGGAAACCCUGACCCAGCAACGCCGCGUGAAGGAAGAAGGCCUUCGGGUUGUAAACUUCUUUUACCAGGGACGAAACAAAUGACGGUACCUGGAGAAAAAGCAACGGCUAACUACGUGCCAGCAGCCGCGGUAAUACGUAGGUUGCAAGCGUUGUCCGGAUUUACUGGGUGUAAAGGGCGUGUAGGCGGAGAUGCAAGUUGGGAGUGAAAUCCCGGGGCUCAACCCCGGAACUGCUUUCAAAACUGCAUCCCUUGAGUAUCGGAGAGGCAAGCGGAAUUCCUAGUGUAGCGGUGAAAUGCGUAGAUAUUAGGAGGAACACCAGUGGCGAAGGCGGCUUGCUGGACGACAACUGACGCUGAGGCGCGAAAGCGUGGGGAGCAAACAGGAUUAGAUACCCUGGUAGUCCACGCUGUAAACGAUGAAUACUAGGUGUGGGAGGACUGACCCCUUCCGUGCCGCAGUUAACACAAUAAGUAUUCCACCUGGGGAGUACGGCCGCAAGGCUGAAACUCAAAGGAAUUGACGGGGGCCCGCACAAGCAGUGGAUUAUGUGGUUUAAUUCGACGCAACGCGAAGAACCUUACCAGGACUUGACAUCCAACUAACGAAGUAGAGAUACAUUAGGUGCCCUUCGGGGAAAGUUGAGACAGGUGGUGCAUGGUUGUCGUCAGCUCGUGUCGUGAGAUGUUGGGUUAAGUCCCGCAACGAGCGCAACCCCUAUUGUUAGUUGCUACGCAAGAGCACUCUAGCAAGACUGCCGUUGACAAAACGGAGGAAGGCGGGGACGACGUCAAAUCAUCAUGCCCCUUAUGUCCUGGGCUACACACGUAAUACAAUGGUGGUUAACAGAGGGAAGCAAUACAGCGAUGUGGAG
rnacentral:rRNA from 1 species